rnacentral:rRNA from 1 species
UACGAAGGGGCUAGCGUUGUUCGGAAUGACUGGGCGUAAAGCGCACGCAGGCGGAUCGUUAAGUCAGGGGUGAAAUCCCGAGGCUCAACCUCGGAAACUGCCUUUGAUACUGGCGAUCUUUGAGUCCGGGAGAGGUGAGUGGAACUCCGAGUGUAGAGGUGAAAUUCGUAGAUAUUCGGAAGAACACCAGUGGCGAAGGCGGCUCACUGGCCCGAUACUGACGCUGAGGUGCGAAAGCGUGGGGAGCAACAGG